rnacentral:rRNA from 1 species
CCUACGGGAGGCAGCAGUGGGGGAUAUUGGACAAUGGGGGGAACCCUGAUCCAGCGACGCCGCGUGAGUGAAGAAGUAUCUCGGUAUGUAAAGCUCUAUCAGCAGGGAAGAAGAAAUGACGGUACCUGAGUAAGAAGCCACGGCUAACUACGGGCCAGCAGCCGCUGUAAUACGGAGGGGGCAAGCGUUAUCCGGAAUUACUGGGGGGAAAGGGAGCGUAGACGGUGAUGUAAGUCUGGAGUGAAAGGCGGGGGCCCAACCCCCGGACUGCUCUGGAAACUAUGUGACUGGAGUGCAGGAGAGGUGAGCGGAAUUCCUAGUGUAGCGGUGAAAUGCGUAGAUAUUAGGAGGAACACCAGUGGCGAAGGCGGCUCACUGGACUGUAACUGACGUUGAGGCUCGAAAGCGUGGGGAGCAAACAGGAUUAGAUACCCUUGUAGUC